rnacentral:ncRNA from 14 species
GAGUAGCUUAGAGGUAGAGCGCAAGGCUCUUAAGGUUAACCUUGUGGUCGUGGGUUCGAACCCCACCUC